GGCUGGCUGAGGAGGGAAGGGAAUCGUGGAGGUAAACAACAGCCAACUUCUGAACCAACUCCCCAAAGCUGUUAAGGUCGGAUCCCCCUUAAGUCUCUUGGGGAGUAAAAAAAGAAAAGAAAAGGAAGUGGAAGCGUGAAGGAAGGGGAGAAGAAACAGUUGUCAGAGAGGGGAUGAUCCAAGGAGGAGCAAGAGCGGCUCGCGGGGAAAAGCCUGUCUAGGCGAUCAGGACGCCACUUUGUCUAUGGUUUCAGCAAAU